rnacentral:rRNA from 1 species
UACAGAGGUCUCAUGCGUUGUUCGGAAUCACUGGGCGUAAAGCGAGCGUAGGCUGUUUCGUAAGUCGUGUGUGGAAGGCGCGGGCUCAACCCGCGGACGGCACAUGAUACUGCGAGACUAGAGUAAUGGAGGGGGAACCGGAAUUCUCGGUGUAGCAGUGAAAUGCGUAGAUAUCGAGAGGAACACUCGUGGCGAAGGCGGGUUCCUGGACAUUAACUGACGCUGAGGCACGAAGGCCAGGGGAGCGAAAGGG